AUUGACCGCUGGCGGCAUGCCUUACACAUGCAAGUCGAACGGUAACGCGGGGCAACCUGGCGACGAGUGGCGAACGGGUGAGUAAUGCAUCGGAACGUGCCCAGUUGUGGGGGAUAACUGCUCGAAAGAGCAGCUAAUACCGCAUACGACCUGAGGGUGAAAGCGGGGGAUCGCAAGACCUCGCGCCAUUGGAGCGGCCGAUGUCCGAUUAGCUAGUUGGUGGGGUAAAGGCCCACCAAGGCGACGAUCCGUAGCUGGUCUGAGAGGACGACCAGCCACACUGGGACUGAGACACGGCCCAGACUCCUACGGGAGGCAGCAGUGGGGAAUUUUGGACAAUGGACGCAAGUCUGAUCCAGCCAUGCCGCGUGCGGGAAGAAGGCCUUCGGGUUGUAAACCGCUUUUGUCAGGGAAGAAAUCUUCUGGGUUAAUACCUCGGGAGGAUGACGGUACCUGAAGAAUAAGCACCGGCUAACUACGUGCCAGCCGCCGCAGUAACAC
rnacentral:rRNA from 1 species